rfam:Bacillus sp. SA1-12 scf7180000003471, whole genome shotgun sequence.
UUUACCUUUAAUACGGUCCAGAGAGGCCGAAAAGGGUGGCAAGCGUAAAACAAGUAUGUAAUCUUUUUUUGUCUAUCUAUGCCCUUUUGUCCUCUGUGACCAAAGGGCAUUUUUGU